UAAAUUUAAAAUGUUGGAUGAUGGUGCAAUUUUCUUAUUUUGUUGGAUCAUUUCAAUUGUAACUAUGCAUGCAUUUGUUUUACUUGUAAAUUAAUGCAGACACAGAAACACAAUAAAAGAUGAUACUAGGUUUAGGAAACUGAAUUUGAAAUUUCAAAUGAUGGUGUGGCAUUCAUUAUUUGGGCAUUGCUAAGAUGCCAAUUCUGUUAGCGUUGUUAUUG
rnacentral:misc_RNA from 1 species